UUCGAGCGUCAUUAGCAACCCUCAAGCACUGCUUGGCAUUGGAUGGUACCUCUUGGUACAUCUCAAAAAUAUUGGCAGUGGCAUUCAGCUUCUAGUGUAGUAAUUUUCUCGCUUAGGAGCCAUGAGUGUCCAACUGCUUAGAACCCUCUGAUUUAUCACAAGGUUGACCUCGGAUCAGGUAGGGAUACCGCUGAACUUAA
rnacentral:misc_RNA from 1 species